CAGUUUCUUCAUCGAGUGCUUGCACUCACCGAAGAAACUGAGUGGCGAACGGGUGAGUAACACGUGGGUAACCUGCCCAAAAGAGGGGGAUAACACUUGGAAACAGGUGCUAAUACCGCAUAACAACAAAAACCGCCUGGUUUUUGUUUAAAAGAUGGUUUCGGCUAUCACUUUUGGAUGGACCCGCGGCGUAUUAGCUAGUUGGUAAGGUAACGGCUUACCAAGGCAGUGAUACGUAGCCGAACUGAGAGGUUGAUCGGCCACAUUGGGACUGAGACACGGCCCAAACUCCUACGGGAGGCAGCAGUAGGGAAUCUUCCACAAUGGACGCAAGUCUGAUGGAGCAACGCCGCGUGAGUGAAGAAGGUUUUCGGAUCGUAAAACUCUGUUGUUAGAGAAGAACGUGUGUGAGAGUAACUGUUCAUGCAGUGACGGUAUCUAACCAGAAAGCCACGGCUAACUACGUGCCAGCAGCCGCGGUAAUACGUAGGUGGCAAGCGUUGUCCGGAUUUAUUGGGCGUAAAGGGAACGCAGGCGGUCUUUUAAGUCUGAUGUGAAAGCCUUCGGCUUAACCGAAGUCGUGCAUUGGAAACUGGGAGACUUGAGUGCAGAAGAGGAGAGUGGAACUCCAUGUGUAGCGGUGAAAUGCGUAGAUAUAUGGAAGAACACCAGUGGCGAAAGCGGCUCUCUGGUCUGUAACUGACGCUGAGGUUCGAAAGCGUGGGUAGCAAACAGGAUUAGAUACCCUGGUAGUCCACGCUGUAAACGAUGAAUGCUAAGUGUUGGAGGGUUUCCGCCCUUCAGUGCUGCAGCUAACGCAUUAAGCAUUCCGCCUGGGGAGUACGACCGCAAGGUUGAAACUCAAAGGAAUUGACGGGGGCCCGCACAAGCGGUGGAGCAUGUGGUUUAAUUCGAAGCAACGCGAAGAACCUUACCAGGUCUUGACAUCUUUUGCUAACCUGAGAGAUCAGGCGUUCCCUUCGGGGACAAAAUGACA
rnacentral:rRNA from 2 species